rnacentral:lncRNA from 1 species
CAAUGAGCUGCAUGGAACUCUACUGAUAAGUGACUGAUUUUCCCUGCAAGGAUUGUCUUAUUUUAAACUUCAAAUUUAGUUGCCUUACUUUAUGCAAGGCAAUUUUGAAUGGAUUUUAAAGCCAUAUUAUAAGUACCAGGAUAAUGCAAGAAAGCUUUUCUUAAAGCUUUUCCAGCAUAAGGCAAAGGAAGGAUUGCCAACAGUUGCUUGUCAGAGAAUGUCUGUGAGUAUUCCAAACAAACUUUGUGAACUUGAGCAUCAUUAUUUUUUCUUUUCUUUUUCAUUUCCAAAAUGUGUGUCAGCCAAGACUGUACCUAACUAAUCUGAGCUUGCAUAGAUUAUCCAGUUUAUUUAGACAAUGUUGGUAGUUUGACUACUAGAGCUUAGAUAAUUCGCACAUGGGUUAACCAGAUUACUGUACACUCCCUCAUGUCUCGUUAGGUUUAUAAACCUGUCAAGACAUUAAAAACCAACAACGAAGAUUCUGGGUUUUUCCCUAAUUCAUGUUUAAAAUAUACUCAAUAACAUUAACCAGUGGUUUCAUAUAUUACAUAUUUUGACUUUGGGGUAUAAGAGAAUGGUUUAUAUUGAAUUUAGGGACUGUCGCUAUGGGAAAAGUGACCAUGCUAAUUUUUGUCCUGAAAAAGAAAGAUCCAGUCUCUUUGUGGCUAGAACUGUGACUGGCAUGCAGGAUUCUUCUAUUGUCUGUGGUAACACCAUACUGAUCAUUGAUAUUGGUAUACUAUUGGAGAGGUAAAACAAAACUAGCAAUAAAGUUUCUAAUAGCUACUAAACUAGGCGGGAA